rnacentral:rRNA from 1 species
AACUGCGAAUGGCUCAUUAAAUCAGUUAUCGUUUAUUUGAUAGUACCUUACUACUUGGAUAACCGUGGUAAUUCUAGAGCUAAUACAUGCUAAAAACCCCAACUUCGGGAGGGGUGUAUUUAUUAGAUAAAAAACCAACGCCCUUCGGGGCUUCUUGGUGAUUCAUGAUAACUUUACGGAUCGCAUGGCCUUGCGCCGGCGACGGUUCAUUCAAAUUUCUGCCCUAUCAACUUUCGAUGGUAAGGUAUUGGCUUACCAUGGUUUCAACGGGUAACGGGGAAUUAGGGUUCGAUUCCGGAGAGGGAGCCUGAGAAACGGCUACCACAUCCAAGGAAGGCAGCAGGCGCGCAAAUUACCCAAUCCCGACACGGGGAGGUAGUGACAAUAAAUACUGAUACAGGGCUCUUUUGGGUCUUGUAAUUGGAAUGAGUACAAUUUAAACCUCUUAACGAGGAACAAUUGGAGGGCAAGUCUGGUGCCAGCAGCCGCGGUAAUUCCAGCUCCAAUAGCGUAUAUUAAAGUUGUUGCAGUUAAAAAGCUCGUAGUUGAAACUUGGGUCUGGCUGGCAGGUCCGCCUCACCGCGUGUACUUGUCCGGCCGGGCCUUCCUUCUGGAGAACCUCAUGCCCUUCACUGGGCGUGUUGGGGACCAGGACUUUUACUUUGAAAAAAUUAGAGUGUUCAAAGCAGGCCUUUGCUCGAAUACGUUAGCAUGGAAUAAUAGAAUAGGACGUGCGGUCCUAUUUUGUUGGUUUCUAGGACCGCCGUAAUGAUUAAUAGGGACAGUCGGGGGCAUCAGUAUUCAAUUGUCAGAGGUGAAAUUCUUGGAUUUAUUGAAGACUAACUACUGCGAAAGCAUUUGCCAAGGAUGUUUUCAUUAAUCAGUGAACGAAAGUUAGGGGAUCGAAGACGAUCAGAUACCGUCGUAGUCUUAACCGUAAACUAUGCCGACUAGGGAUCGGGCGAUGUUCUUUUUCUGACUCGCUCGGCACCUUACGAGAAAUCAAAGU